CAUUUUUGUAGGUGUGUUAUAUUGUCAAUCAAAAUGUUGGGUAAUUUUUUGAUGCGCAAACGUAGAGAAGAUGACGAAUUGGCUAUCAUCGAAGCUUUGUAUGCUAACGAUAGAAGCUCGGCCAACCACACACAUAUUCAUACAUCCAUCCUUACGGGAGAUCGGUACGUGCGAGAAGUUCUAGAAGGUCAUGAAUUAAGAUGCAAACGAGAUUUUCGGAUGGAGCGGUAUAUUUUUCGUAACUUGGUCCAGUGUCUUCGAGAGAGAUGCCAUCUAAGAGAUACGAAUUUUGUCUCAGUGGAAGAACAAGUAGGCAUAUUUUUAUAUGCCGUUUCAAAGAAUGCAACCAAUCGUACACUCCAAGGGCAAUUUCAGCAUAGUGGUGAGACCAUAAGUCGCUAUUUCAAUAUUGUGUUGAACGCCCUGAUGAUAUUGUCAGGAAGUGUAAUACAGUUGCCUCCAAUUAAUGUUCCUUUCAAAGUUGCAAGCAAUACGAAAUUUAUGCCAUAUUUCAAGGAUUGUAUUGGAGCAAUAGAUGGAACACAUAUUCCAAUUAGCAUAUCUCCAAAAGACCAAGAUCCAUAUCGUAACAGAAAGGGAACAUUGUCACAAAAUGUUAUGGUUGCAUGUGAUUUUGGUAAUCGUUUUGUCCAUGUCAGCAGCGGAUGGGAAGGUUCCGCUUCUGAUGCUCGCGUUCUACAAGAUGCUCUUGAAAAUAAUUUCUAUGUCCCCGAAGGAAAGUUUUAUUUGGUGGAUGCUGGUUAUGCGAAUACGCCUAAUUUCAUUGCACCUUAUCGCAAUGUAAGGUACCAUUUGGUGGAGCAGGCUAAAUGCAAUCAGCGGCCGCAAAAUCCUCGAGAGCUAUUCAACCAGAGGCAUGCACAACUAUGUAAUCAUGUUGAGCAUAUAAUUGGAGUUCUGAAGAAGCGUUUCCCUGUACUAAAGUGUGCAUCGCAAUACCCC
rnacentral:rRNA from 1 species